rnacentral:piRNA from 1 species
UACGGAAGUUUUCAGAACAUC